AUGAACGCUGGCGGCGUGCUUAACACAUGCAAGUCGAACGAUUAAAGCUCACUUCGGUGAGUGUAUAGAGUGGCGAACGGGUGAGUAACGCGUGGGAAACCUGCCCCUUUCUUCGGGAUAACUUCGGGAAACCGUUGCUAAUACCGGAUACUCCGGGAUGGUCGCAUGGCCGACCCGGGAAAGCUUUAUGUGGAAAGGGAUGGUCCCGCGGCCCAUUAGCUUGUUGGUGGGGUAAUGGCCUACCAAGGCGAUGAUGGGUAGCCG
rnacentral:rRNA from 1 species